rnacentral:ncRNA from 2 species
GUUAAAUACGAUUUUAUAGGUGCCCCAAUACAGGGAGAAUAGGGAAACCGAUGAAAAUUCGGUACGGACCCACCACUGUAAUUAGACGAUGAAAAUGUACAUAUGCCACUGGGAGACUGGGAAGGCGUACCUUGGAGUCUAUAAGUCAGAAGACCUGCCUAUAGAAUUAUGCAAAG